CGUCUUUGACGUUGCUUCUCCGCCGGUCGAGGACAACCGACCCCUCGCGUCCCGAGGCUAAACGACGUCCCGGUGUUACCUCCCUGGAGGCACACGUUAAAGAUCGUUCCGCAUUGUGAGUCUUGACACCAGCUGUACAAUUUUUUACAACCGGUGGCGUUGGAUCCCUUGGCACGUCAUUCGAUGAAGACCGUUGCAAAUUGCGAUAAAGUGAUGUGAUGCGCAAGUCCACCACUUAUACGUGAAUCAUCGAGUUGUUGAACGCACUGCACCGCGCCCUAACCCGGCUGCGGUAUGCCCCUUUGAGCGUCAUUGCUACCCUUCGGGAGUCUUUCCUUGGGAAGACCCGAGUUCGGAGUCCUCGGUCCUCGGAUCGUGUUCUCUCAGAUCCAUCGUGCCGAUCGUCCGGUAGGUCCUCUAAUGCCUGAGCGUGGAGAGCCUCUGGAGUUUUGAGCGGCGUUUGACCGCGUGGCGAGCGCUGGUCACCAAGUCCGCACGGCCCAGCCGUCGGUGCUACAACUCAUGACCUCAUUGGGGUAGGACAACCCGCUAGACUUA
rnacentral:rRNA from 1 species